rnacentral:rRNA from 2 species
AGAGUUUGAUCCUGGCUCAGGAUGAACGCUGGCGGCAUGCCUAAUACAUGCAAGUCGAACGAGAGGAAGGAAAGCUUGCUUUUCUGAAUCUAGUGGCGAACGGGUGAGUAACACGUAGGUAACCUGCCCAUGUGCCCGGGAUAACUUCUGGAAACGGAUGCUAAAACCGGAUAGGUAGCAGACAAGCAUUUGACUGCUAUUAAAGUGGCUAAGGCCAUGAACAUGGAUGGACCUGCGGUGCAUUAGCUAGUUGGUGAGGUAACGGCCCACCAAGGCGACGAUGCAUAGCCGGCCUGAGAGGGCGGACGGCCACAUUGGGACUGAGACACGGCCCAAACUCCUACGGGAGGCAGCAGUAGGGAAUUUUCGUCAAUGGGGGGAACCCUGAACGAGCAAUGCCGCGUGAGUGAGGAAGGUCUUCGGAUCGUAAAGCUCUGUUGUAAGAGAAAAACGACAUUCAUAGGGAAUGAUGAGUGAGUGAUGGUAUCUUACCAGAAAGUCACGGCUAACUACGUGCCAGCAGCCGCGGUAAUACGUAGGUGGCGAGCGUUAUCCGGAAUGAUUGGGCGUAAAGGGUGCGUAGGUGGCAGAACAAGUCUGGAGUAAAAGGUAUGGGCUCAACCCGUACUGGCUCUGGAAACUGUUCAGCUAGAGAACAGAAGAGGACGGCGGAACUCCAUGUGUAGCGGUAAAAUGCGUAGAUAUAUGGAAGAACACCGGUGGCGAAGGCGGCCGUCUGGUCUGUUGCUGACACUGAAGCACGAAAGCGUGGGGAGCAAAUAGGAUUAGAUACCCUAGUAGUCCACGCCGUAAACGAUGAGAACUAGGUGUUGGGGGAAUAACUCAGUGCCGCAGUUAACGCAAUAAGUUCUCCGCCUGGGGAGUAUGCACGCAAGUGUGAAACUCAAAGGAAUUGACGGGGGCCCGCACAAGCGGUGGAGUAUGUGGUUUAA